AAGACUAACGAUAAGGUAAUUUUGAUCAUUAUUCAGAUAGACAGCAACUUGUGCAACUCGUGGUCAAUUUUUUCUAAUAAAUAAUUUUUGAUUGUGAGUAAUACACCUGAUAUAAUUGAUAGACUAAGCAGCUGCUAGAUUCUAGACUAAUUAUUUUAAACAACUAAUUACUCAAUGUGAAUUUUUUGUGAAUUCAAACUGCCAGUGUAGAUAGAUGAAGUAAUUAUUAUUCAAAAUCAAACGAUAAAGUUUCAUUCAAAGUUUAAAUUGUUGGGGCGAGACUUUGCUAGUGGGUCUAAUACAAGAACAAGAUAAAUUGCCUGCUAAUUCACGAGAAAUCAGUUUUGUAAUCCAAGAGACUGCGAUCAAAUUCUGUGUUCAAAAUCAUCGAUCGUCGGCUUUCAUCAUUAAUCCAUCAAUAUAACGAGUAAAUUAAAUCUCAUAUUUAUGCUCAAAUAAUUUAUUUAUAAUUUUUUCAAUUAAAAUACAAUAAAUCAUCAUGCUUCCGUGGUGGAGCUUGUUGGUACUUGUGGUAGUCGUAAUGUUGACAUUUUGGGUGAUCAAAUCUUUUAAACAAUGUUAU